UACGAGAGGUGCAAGCGUUGUUCGGAGUGACUGGGCGUAAAGCGCACGUAGGCGGGUUCAUAAGUCGAUUGUGAAAUCCCCGGGCUCAACCUGGGAGUGGCAGUCGAAACUGUGGAUCUUGAAUGUCCGAGAGGUUAGUGGAAUUCCUGGUGUAGGAGUGAAAUCCGUAGAUAUCAGGAGGAACACCGGAGGCGAAGGCGGCUAACUGGUGGAACAUUGACGCUGAGGUGCGAAAGCGUGGGUAGCAAACAGG
rnacentral:rRNA from 1 species